GCGCCCUUAGCUCAGUAGGAUAGAGCAACAGUUUCCUAAACUGUAGGUCGGAGGUUCGAAUCCUCUAGGGCGCGCCA
rnacentral:tRNA from 1 species